AAGUGAGAAGCAAACAAUUGCAAUCAGUUUCGACCUGGUCCUGGAUAAAAUUUUAUCCUCACUUU
rnacentral:tRNA from 1 species